ensembl:miRNA
GAAAUAAAGAAUUCUCUCGAAGUGUUACUUCUCCAAUAAUCACUCGAAGAAUUCCUUGUUUUAG